GACGAAGGAUUCAAGCGUUGUCCGGAUUUACUGGGCUUAAAGGGUGCGUAGGCGGAUUUUUAAGUCAGUGGUGAAAGCUUCCCGCUCAACGGGAAAACUGCCAUUGAAACUGAUUUCUUGAAUACAGUUGAGGUAGAUGGAAUAUAACAUGUAGCGGUGAAAUGCGUAGAUAUGUUAUAGAACACCAAUUGCGAAGGCAGUCUGCUAAGCUGUUAUUGACGCUGAGGCACGAAAGCGUGGGGAGCAAACAGG
rnacentral:rRNA from 1 species